GCGCCUCCUGCACUGGCCAUAUUUCUGCAGUUUCUCCACGACCAGCCAGCCCUGGGCAUACAACCCAUCCUUAUCCCAGCUGGCCUCUGUCCUGUCAACUGGCGCCCACAGAUCUAUGGCGGAUUGGGGUUUAAGGAAGCCUGGCAGCAAGCCCUCUGUGUCCUUAAGGUGGGCCACCUGGUAGCUGUAGAGCAGAGCAUUACCGAACAGCAGCAGGUCUCCCACCGUCGAGAGGAAGCCGCCUCCUGCCCACUUGUAGGAGUUGUCCACAUACUGGCAGUUUACCACACGUCCUCUCUUGUUGACAUGAUAAUAUCUGUGGAGGAACGUUAUAUAUUAAUAUGGACUCUUAGGAUUCUCAGCACAAAACAACCAUGAGCAAACAAAAUGACCUCAAAAGAGCCAACAGUUCUACUCUGAUGUUACUGAAGCCACUCCCCUAAAAUAUUUUCUGACUAUUUACUCUCAUUACCUGGAGCGGUGAUAAAUGAUAGGGCCAUUCUCAUCAGGCACAGUAUUGAGCAUCCCCAGCUCCCGGAACAUGUUCAUCAUGACGUCCAGGAAGUGCUGGCCGGCAGCUCGCUCCAUUACAGCACUGAGCAGAGUAAAGGCGUGGGUGGAGUAAAAAAAAGUGGUGCCUGCAUGAAGCAGAAUAUAGAUGGUAUAAAUAUGAAUACAUUAACAUUGAGAAUGAAUCGUGUUUGACUUGUUUGAUUAGCAGGAAUAAUCUGUGCUUUACCGGGUUUGAAAAGGAGCGGGUCGUCCUUGAAGAGCUCCAACGCCUGAGUGACACUUUCAAAGUUUUCCUUCAAGUAGUACUCUUCAUGCUCAAACUCUUUCUUCUUCUGAGCCUUAGUGGCUUGUUUCUCUUUACCACUCUGCUCAGUAGAGUCUUUAUCUUUGUUUUCAGGUGAGCUCUUUUCAUCCUUUUCAAGCGGUGGCUUCAGAAGGCGUUUCGCUUUCUCCCUGUCCUCUUUUACCUUUUUCACAUCCCUCUCAUAAUGUCGGAUACCGCUCAGGUGGGACAGGAUCAAACGAGGGGUUAUCGUCACCUGAGAGAACAGAAGAAAUAACGUGCGUGUGAGAUGAACACAGGAGACGCACGAGACAGGACUGCUGACAUAUUACGUGUUGCAUCUCUUCAACUGACUUACAUCCUGUCCCUCAAAUUCUUUCUGGGGAAAUUCGGGGACAUAUUCCUGGACGGGGACAUCAAUAUCCAGUUUCCCUUCCUCGCAGAGGCGUGCAGCAGCUGCAGAUGUGAGCGGUUUACUGAUGCUGGCGAUUCGCAUCACUGUUUCUGGGCUGCACGGCACACGGUUCUCCAAAUCAGCAAAACCGAUCCCUGAAUUAGAUAGAGUCAUUUUGGAAUGUCAUUUCAGUGAAGUCAGAGUGUUGCAUUAAAUCAUUAUUGAGACAUUUCAGUCAAGGAAGGAGACCAUGAUGCUUAAUUGCUGCAAAGGCUGCCAAUGCUGGCUAAGGUGCAAGAACUGGCAACCUAAGAGACUUUCAGAGACCAAUUGAUUCAUUUUCUUGUAAUCCUUCGUUGGCCGACAAAUAAAAACAGAGGGCCAGUGUUUGCAUAAUGUCAGCAAGAGGGACCACUUCAACAGCAACUGAAUAUUGUGAGAACACUGACACCAUUAGUCAAUAAAACUGGCAAAUGAAUUGGUGGCUAUUUUGAUGGUUGGUUAAUCAUUAGUGGCAUUUUACAAGUUAAUCUGAUAAACGUUCUCAAGCUUUUUCAAAACGACUACUUGCCUUUUAAUAUAGUUAUGAACUCAAUAUCUAUUGUUUUAGUAACAAAAUAAGUAACAUGAAGCUUUAUCCCAUCAGCUCAGAUUAUUCUACUAGUGCUAUUUAACCCAUCAAUUCAAAUAUGGGUCCAGAUAGUAAUAAAAUAAAAUGUCAACUGUAUUUAUAUAGCACCUUCAAAACAACUUGGUGGAUCAAAGUCCCUCUUAAAGGUUCAGUGUGUAGAAUGUAUUGACAUCUAGUGGUGUAGUGGCAUGUUACAGCUUAGUUUGUCCAGUCUGGGCUACUUUUAAAAACAUGGCAGCCUCCACAGAGAAGACCCGCUACCGAUGUAAGUAAAAAGUAUUUAAAUAUAAAGUUGCCCAUUCGAGGGUAAAGAAAACAACAAUUCAUACAAUUUGGAUUAAACACACAAGUGAAAACAUCACAAGGGUUAUUUUAUAUUCAAUUUCUGCCAAUAGAUCCCUUUCACACACUGGUACUUUAAACCAUUUCACCACCAUUGUGAAGCCCCCUGGAGAAGCCCCCCCACCAGAGGCACCUACCCUCACACCAGACCUGAGCACCGUCCACAGAGACCCCGACCACCAGCCCCGGAGCCCCGACCUCAGCCUGACAACACACAGAUAACACACACGGGGAUCAUUAUUGCUCUACAGGAUAUGGAGCGACUGGUUGUGUCCCAGUUCACACACCCACCUCAGGUCCUACCUUGAUCCUCUGCAGCAGCUCUCUGCUCACUGACACCGCAGCUCUGUACCGAUCCGUCCUGUCUGCGGCUGCAGCCUCAUCGCCCCCCCAGCUGUGUUUCAGCCCCACGGCUAAAGCUAACCCCACACCGACCCCGCACAGCCACAGCCUGGACCUCACCCUGUGUGGGGCCGACGCUGGGUUCAGUCCCUGCGCGUGAGGUCUGUGCUGCUGAGAGAAAACCUUCCUCUGCUGCUGCUGCUUCAGCCUCGUCCACAGGGACAGAGACCGCGAGGACAGGAGGCGAGGACAUGAGGGACAGACGCGGUGAGACAAAAACAACCGCGACAUAGUGGGAACCGCUUCUUUUUACUGAGCAGACACUUCCUGAGAGAAUCAUCGAACCAGACCUAAAUAAUCGAGAACAGGUGGAAGGGCUGCAUUCGCGUGCUCCUCGGAAAAGUCCAACUUCCCCGGUUGUGAACUCGACCACAGACUUUGUAUCUGACUCCAGAGCUGCAGGAUCCAGAUCUGACACUUACACGCAACUAUCAGUGUGUUCUUUUCAUCCUCUCUAGUAUUAUCAUUGUAACUAUACAGUUGAUUCUCUACUAACAUUGCUGUUACAGUUAUGUAACAUUAGUGUAUUGAUUAAUAUCACUGUAGUUGGUGAGAGUAUAAUAUAGUGAAAUAGUGACUAAGCACACACACUCUCUCUCGCUCUCGCUCUCUCUCUCUCACACACACACAUACACACACCCUUAUCUCUCACUGGUGCAGCAGAGGACUUUGAGGUUGUGAAAACUACUUAUCUGCUGUGAACACAUGAAGCACUCGACCAGGCUUGUGUUCACAGUGACAGCUGAAUAUUACGAUGUGUGCACACAGUUCGGAGGUGCUGCCCCCUUAGAAGACAUUGUAGUAGAUUACCUUUUUAUUUUUCAUUUUUAGGCUCAUUACAUGUCUGAGGGAAAAUGGAUUUAGGCUCAUGAGUAAAGUAAGAUACCCUGCAAAAUAUGAACAUAGGUCAUGUUCAUUUUUCCACCGCUGCUUCAUGGUUGGACUAAUCAGAAACCAAGUUGAUACGGUCCAGCAGAGCUCAGCUCCAGUGAACCAAAAAAACACAUGACAAUGUUUUUCCCCCCAGAUGGAAGUAAAGUUCAGUGUCGAGUGAAAAUCAACCAAAUAGAAGAUCUCUUCACUUGUUCUGAAAAACACUAUUUUCAUCUCUGCGGGGAAGAUGAACUCUAUUAAAUAGUCUUUUCCAUUCUGUCUCUCCAAAAUAUAUAAAAAGAUUCAAUUUACUCCAGCUUAAAACAAAAUGGACAAAAGGGCAACGUAUAUACACCACAGACAAAGUUAGAAAACUUUCAAAACAUGCUUUUAUUUUCUAAUUUGUACAUUUCAGAUAUGAUAAACACUUGAAACAUCUACAUUGAAAUAAAUGCUAAAACGUUGCACAACCAGAUGACUGAAAUUAUACUUUAAAGACAAGAUGAACACAUUUUUGGAAAAUGCAAUUUUUUUAAAGAAAACUAAGACUAUAAUGUGAUUGGUUUUUUAAGACAUUGCUUUACAGUACAGUAGCACCAGUAUAAAUACUGACUGGUGCAGUCAAUGUAUACGUACACUUUCUUGGAACAGGGCAUGUAUUUUUUAACAUAUUGUCUUACAGUAUGCACAAUGUUCAUAUAGUUGAGGUUUUAUAUUAAGUGCAAAAUUUCUCCACUUUAUCCUUUGGUAUGUGCAUAAUCAAUGUCGAAUGGAGCGUACCUGAUCAGCUUGAAUGCAGAUGUGGAAAACAAUAAUGAACCCGAUGGCACAAACGAAAUAAACCUAAAUCAUAGAAACUGGCUGGCAAAAACAAAGGUGAGUUCAGUUCAUCAAAGGGAGUAAUGGUUAAGCUUUACUUCCCUUUAGCUCUGCUCCUUGGUCAGGUUCUGCUGAAGGCAGGGCGGUGCGACGGGUAUAGCAUCUGGCUGUUUGUUUCUCCACCACGGACAAGGUACGAGGAGAGGUUUACGGUAAGCAAG